AAAAAAAUCGGUUUGUGUAUAUAAAUUAAUGUGUAUGUUUUGAAGGGUGAUUUUGUUGGUUGGUUUUCUUGUGUUUGCCUGAGGAGCAUUGGGAGUCAUCUGCCGGGUAUUUAAGGAGCAGUGUGGCAGCUCUCAGGUGUCAGAUUGUUGUCUCGACCUUAAGUGGUAAAUCAUCAACCGGCUUCUAUGUACUACUUUGAUUUGCACGACAUUCACGGAUCGUCGUUUCCUCUGCUUCCUGACAGUUUGCGACCCUCACUGCCCAGCCAUUCUCAGUCUGGAGCUAUCCUGCCUAACUCUCCAUGCUACCUCACUUCAUCUCUUCCAGAUCUCAUCCUCCCUGCUCACCUGCGCUGCCUGGGAUCCAGCCUUAAAUACCUCACCCAAGCAUCUAGUAAAUGUGUGGCAAAUGUUACCCAGUCUCCUUAAGUAAACAUGAGCUGCAGCCUUCUGAGUGUCAGAUGCAGCUGUGGACGCGGGCCUCUCCUGGCACUGCCCCUGUGCUCCACCUCUCUAUGCAAACUGCCCCCACAGACACAUGAACGCAUGAAGACUAUUGUUCAUAAAAAGGUGGAUGAGAAAAGAUGCAAAAUGGAGCCCUCUACAUUGUAUCCUUUACGGUAACUGGAGCUGUUGUUUCUCUAUGAAAUAGACAAAAAAGAAAUAAAGUCAGAUAAUGUAAUGGUGCAUGCUGCAUGCAAAUUCAAUAAAUGGAUGGAGAACUAAUAUUAAAUGCAGGAGUGGUUAAUUCAU